UACGUAGGGUCCGAGCGUUGUCCGGAAUUACUGGGCGUAAAGAGCUCGUAGGUGGUUUGUCGCGUUGUUCGUGAAAACUCACAGCUCAACUGUGGGCGUGCGGGCGAUACGGGCAGACUAGAGUACUGCAGGGGAGACUGGAAUUCCUGGUGUAGCGGUGGAAUGCGCAGAUAUCAGGAGGAACACCGGUGGCGAAGGCGGGUCUCUGGGCCGACACUGACGCUGAGGAGCGAAAGCGUGGGGAGCGAACAGG
rnacentral:rRNA from 1 species